rnacentral:rRNA from 1 species
GAUGAACGCUAGCGGCAGGCCUAAUACAUGCAAGUCGAACGGUGUCUUCGGACAUAGUGGCGCACGGGUGCGUAACACGUAUGCAACCUACCUUACAUUGGGGGAUAGCCUUUCGAAAGGGAGAUUAAUACCGCAUAAGACAGUAGCUGGGCAUCCAGCAGCUGUUAAAGAUUUAUCGAUGUAAGCUGGGCAUGCGUCCAAUUAGCUAGUUGGUGAGGUAACGGCUCACCAAGGCAAUGAUUGGUAGGGGAACUGAGAGGUCAAUCCCCCACACUGGCACUGAGUUACGGGCCAGACUCCGACGGGAGGAAGCAGUAGGGAAUAUUGGGCAAUGGACGCAAGUCUGACCCAGCCAUGCCGCGUGCAGGAUGAAGGCGUUAUGCGUUGUAAACUGCUUUUAUACAGGAAGAAACGACUCUUGCGGGAGGCAUUGACGGUACUGUAUGAAUAAGCACCGGCUAACUCCGUGCCAGCCGCCGCCGUAACAC